rnacentral:rRNA from 1 species
UACGUAGGGGGCAAGCGUUGUCCGGAUUUAUUGGGCGUAAAGAGCGUGUAGGCGGCCAGACAGGUCCGUUGUGAAAACUCGAGGCUCAACCUCGAGACGCCGAUGGAAACCGUCUGGCUAGAGUCCGGAAGAGGAGAGUGGAAUUCCCGGUGUAGCGGUGAAAUGCGCAGAUAUCGGGAAGAACACCCGUGGCGAAGGCGGCCUUCUGGACCAAUACUGACGCUCAUGCACGAAAGCGUGGGGAGCAAACAGG